UUAUUGAAAUAAAUUAUGAUUGCGGGACCUUGGUGUUGCGUGAUUAAUACUGAAUCAGUAAAAAUAUGAGUGAAGGCACACUCGUGGGCUUUGGUGGUUGGAAAAUAACGGUGGUGCUGAUUCUAAUAGUCCUCCUGCCAAAAACUCUCCCCUCCACCUCCAAAGCUAUGUGCUUCCUUUAUGACGACUCAUAAUGAAAGCGAAAGUUUUCUUUACACAGAUAUAUAUUUGCUCUUUGGAUCAAGCAGAUCACUUUCUUAAGGCACUUCCUCGGACAUGCCCAGAGUACAUUUUUUAAAGGAAAAUUUGCAUCAAGAUGUCUCCCGUGGUGAGUCUAUGUCCAAACUGUUGAAUGUCAUUUGUAAUGCUCUUCCUUACCAUAGGUAUUAUGACUGAAGGAGAC